rnacentral:lncRNA from 1 species
GCUGCCGCGGGGGACGCUGGGGAACGGGGCAGUCCCCCCCGCAGUCCCACCCACUCGCCCUUUGCUGUGCGCACGCGCAGACUCUGUGCGGGAGGUAGGGACAGGACCUUGGGUAGGCGACGCCUCGCUCACCGCUGCGCUUGCGCGCGCCCCCCGCGUCCCCAGCGCGCCUAGCCCAGGCAGAGUCCGGCUGCGCCUGCGUGCGCCUGUCGGUGAUCUGCCCGGGGGUGAGUUCUCAAGCCCAUUUGGCAGAUGCAGAGACUGAGUCCCAGGCGGUCCCUGCGGUCCUGGGGCGGCGGUUCUGGGUGCCAACUCCCCUCUCCAGCCUCAGGGACUGGAGGGACCGCAGGGACACACGCUGUCCUGUGCGCGGUCGUGGAGCGACCUGGAGAAGCAAGAGUCAAGAUCAAAUGGAGAAGGCAUCUAGUAGCACGGGUGGAGCAAGUGCUCCAGGGAACAGUGCUGCCCUGGGGUGCCACCUGAGCGGGAUCCAGGUGACACAGGGGAGCCCUCCUCUGGGAAGCCUCCCUAAGCUGAUCAGAAGGGAGAGGGGCCUACUGUGGUCGCUCUCCACAUUCUCCAGGCUCGGGCCUUACUGUGGCCCCCUGCUUGGGAACUCUCUGUGGCCUGCCGACGUGAGCCCCAUACCAUCACUCCACUCCUGCGCUACUUGAACUCUCUCCUGUACUAUCCUCCAGCUGCUGUGAUGGGAGGCAUAGCCCCAGGUCUGGAGGGAGCCAGCCGUGGAGGAUGUCAGCCUUGUAGCUGCAGUCAUCGCAGAACUGUUCUGAAGAAAGAUGGGCAGCUGUGGGGUAGGACUUAUGUGCCUGCCUGCCACCGUCUCCCCCAGACAGCUCCAAGCCCAAGUCUGGACCAUCCUCAGACUCACAGAAUCUGUCAAGGACUCACAAGUGUCUUGCUUGCCAUUCCACUGAGCAAGGCCAGGGGAGCACCGAGCAGAUUGGUGUCUGAGUUACGGGGUCAGGCAUUCUGGUUCCUGGAACCUAGCAGGUGGCCCAACUCAGAAGCCCCAUGUGGUCCUUGUCUACCUGAGUGAUGCUGAAAGCCUUCCAUGCCCAUGACUUUCUGCUGUCUGGCUCCCUCUCAUUUUAUUUUUUACAGUUUGUAUUUAUUUUUGUUGAUUUCUGGCUCUGCUUGGUCUUCAUUGCUGCGCAGGCUACUGUCCGGCUGUGCUGUGCGGGCUGCUUGUUGCAGUGGCUUCUUUAGUUGUAGAGCAAGGCCCCGGAGCACAGGCUCAGUAGCCAUGGCCCAAGGGCUUAGCUGCUCCGUGGCAUGUGGGAUCUUCCCAGACCAGGAUUGAACCAGUGCUCCCGGCACUGCAGCUUGGAUUCUUAACCCCUGGACCACCAGGGAGGCCCUCCGUCUCAUUUUAGUUUGCUGGUAUCGGGCAGCUAAGGUGUGCCCAGGGUUCUGACCCAAGGCCUUUGCACUGACUGCCCCCUUCCAGGUGAGUUUGCUUUCUCCUUCCUUCCUCUUUCUGAGGGUCUAUGCUCCUUUCAACGCCCCUCUCCAUUGAAAAUAGCCCUCCCUUCACUCCACUCUCCCCUAUUGCACAUGAACAUUUUUAAUACAUUUAUUUGUUUCAUGUGGGAGACCUGGGUUCGAUCCCUGGGUUGCGAAGAUCCCCUGGAGAAGGGAAAGGCUAUCCGCUCCAGUAUUCUGGCCUGGAGAAUUCCAUGGACUAUUUAGUCCAUGGAGGGCUUCCAUGGGGUCACAAAGAGUCGGACAUGACUAAGCCAAUUUCAGCUUCACUUUCAGGUUUGUUUCAUGGUUUUUUUCUUUGUGCUCUGCCGCCCAGCAGGGCCUUUACAGUGGACACACUGUAGAUGCUCAGAGAGAGGGGAAGCCAGUGGGGACAUGGCUCCAAGAGGAGCUGCCUGAUCUUGGGCCACGCAGAGAGGGUGAGAGGUCACAGGCCCUGCGGGUGCCAUGCCUGGCCAUGGGCAAGCAGUACUUAUUCUUGCCACCUGAGGUCUGGCAUCCUUGGAGCAAGAUUAGGACGAAGGCGGUCAGGUGGGGGCGCUCCUGCCUAGGCCAACGCUACCCUGGCUAGGACCCUUCAGUGCUUUAAUUAAAACCCAUCUCUCUGCCUGACCCCGCUCUGCCAUCACAUUCUCCACUUAAUUGGGGCCCAUCAGAGUGGCCAAGGUUAAUUAAAAAGCCCAGCCUGAGGCGUAGCGGUGUCCAGCGUCUGCUGCCGGGAUCUGCCACGCACGCCCUGACUCAUGCUCCAGAGGGCUGGCCUUCACACCUGUCACUUGGCUUGGGGUCCAGCUCCAUGCUUUCCACUCUGGUCUCUCCGAGACUGUGAACAUCUCACAAGGAUCCUGAGGCUCUGAAGUGGCUUUCUGUCUCCACCAAGUGAGGGCAGGCUGUCUCUGGGGACACCAGUCUGUUUCUGCUGGGUCCUGUUUCCAGCCUGGGGGGCUGGGUCCUGCUUCUGGCUCCCAGGUCAAGGUGGGCCAGCCCUGCCCUUUUCAGCACCCAACCCCUACCUGCAAGCCCAGCUGGUCACCUGCCCUGGGAAGCCCCCUUUUUAAGAGGGAUCUCCAGCCUCUUCCUACACAGACUGCUACCUCCUACUACCCCCUGUUGCUGCUGCUGCUGCUGCUGCUAAGUCGCUUCAGUCGUGUCCGACUCUGUGCGACCCCAUAGACAGCAGCCCACCAGGCUCCCCCGUCCCUGGGAUUCUCCAGGCAAGAAUACUGGAGUGGGUUGCCAUUUCCUUCUCCAAUGCAUGAAAGUGAAAAGUCAAAGUGAAGUCGCUCAGUUGUGUCCGACUCUUCACAACCUCAUGGACUGCAGCCUACCAGGCUCCUCCAUCCACGGGAUUUUCCAGGCAAGAGUACUGGAGUGGGGUGCCAUUGCCUUCUCCGACCACCCCAUGUUAGGGCUAUUUGUAAGGGAAGAGGCUAAGGUCACCCUAAAGGGCACCUGGCUCCUCAGGUGUGUUUAAGGGGUGGGUGCCCUGUGAGGGAGGCCAGUGGGGAGGCAGAAGCCUUCCAGGUGAUCAGCCAGGGACAUCAGGGUCUGUGAUCUGAUCCUUCAAAGGUCUGGUCACAGAGAGGGAGACGGACAGGCCGAGGAAGGCAAGUCCCUGACAAAAGCAGCCACUGUUCUGUCAUAGAUGGGAAAAGAAAUGGCCAGAGUGUCUUGCUGCUGCCCAAAGGGGUGGAUGUCUGCCUGCUUGCCUGCCCAGAGCUGGACAUCAAGGCAACAGGCAGUCCAGGUCCAGAGGCCUAGCAGAGCCAGGCUGAGGGAUGGGAGAACCUGAGCAGGCAGGCCAGGUAGUGUGAGGAGGCCCAGCAUGAUUUCUGGUUCUGGAAUGAGCAUUAUUCCUCAUUAACUGGACAAGGACACUGGACACUGGACCUAGAGACCGCUGGCCAUGCUGGGAGCUUGUCUGGGCUGGGUGUUAGCUGCCGGGUGCUGCAACGCAGCAGCACGUCGGGCCAGGCUGGGUUUGAGCUGCAGGGGGAGCCCUGGAGAGACCUCUGGUCCUCUUCCAGGGCCCGGGUAUGUCCUCAUACUGUCAACUCUGUGGCGUUCUCGGGGACCCCAAGCCCCACGGGAGGGGAGACAGGAAGUGGUCACACCUGCUCCUGAAGCUGCCGACUGAGGAAGCAUGUCAGAGUGGAUGGUGGCCUGUCCCAUUGCUCACGUCAGCCUUGGGCCGGAAAGCAGGAGUGGACCCUGUAGGCCUGGGCUGGCUGAGCUGCCCCCUCUUUUUGUCCAUCAUAGGGCAAGCCGUGUGACAGGGAGAGGCAGAGAGUGAGUCUGAACCACCUGUGUGUGUGUCCAAGCCUGAGGCAUCACACCUGCGCUGUGUGCAACUCCACCUGUAGCUCGCUGCCUUGCAUUGUCCCCACCUGCGGCAGCCACAGCAGCAGGGUCGCCACUUGCAUCCGCCCCACCUGUACCCCAUCCUUCCCACCUGCAUCACCCUCACUUACGGCAUCCUUCUUACCUUCAGUGUCCUCACCUGCCACACCCUCACCUGAGUCGCCACCAUCCCUGUUAUUCUUGGCUACUCUGGGGCAAGCUGAGCCGAGCUGUCUUCCACACUGUUCUCCUAGCCUGAGUGGGUGGGUGCUGAAACAGCCC